GAAAAGCUGAAAUUAGGGUUUUUCGGUUCCUAUAAAACUAAGAGAACCCCAAAAGCUCUGAUUUCCAUUUUCAAUUUCAAUACCUCUCUCUCUAUUUGUUAUUGUUUUUAAGUUUUUGCAGAGAUCAAUCAUGGGAAAGGGUCCCGGUCUCUACACUGAAAUCGGCAAGAAAGCCAGAGAUCUUCUUUACAAGGACUAUCAGACGGAUCAAAAGUUCACCAUCACUACCUACUCACCUACUGGAGUCGUGAGUUCCUCCUUUAGAUCCAGUCUUCUACUUGUUUUUUUUGGUAUUUAGUUGAGCUCGCACUGUAUCACUGUAUAUUUAUUGCUGAAUUUAUUUUGCAAAGUUUGUAAUUAUUAUUUGUUGAGCUCUUCCCAGACAGCCUAAUCAUGGGUUUUAUUUCCCUUGUGUUAUAGAUUUGAUAUUUAUAACCAGGCUACUAUCUGCUGGGAGCGUUGGGUUUCUUGAAUUUUGCUUAACAUGUUGAAGUUUAUGAACUGAAGCAAUUUGUAAUUCAAUUCAUUUUGGAAGUUAGUGUUGCAUGUGUUAACUUGCCUUCUCAGUUAAAUUUGCUUAUCUAUGAAUAAAAUGUUGAAUUUUUGCCAUAAUUGAAUUCUGUUACUAAUUUAUUUACUAAUCUUUAUUAUGGCAGGCCAUUACAUCUACAGGUGUAAAGAAAGGUGACCUGUUUCUGGCAGAUGUCAAUACUCAGCUGAAGAACAAGAAUAUCACUACUGAUGUCAAAGUGGACACAGAUUCUAAUCUUUUUACAACCAUUACAUUUGAUGAACCUGCUCCUGGGCUGAAGGCAAUUUUAAGCUUCAGAGUUCCUGAUCAAAGGUCUGGUAAGGUGGAGAUUCAAUAUCUGCAUGACUAUGCAGCUGUAAGUUCUAGUAUUGGGUUGACACCCAACCCUAUUGUUAACUUCUCUGGUGUCAUUGGAACCAAUGUUGCCUCACUUGGUACGGAUCUGUCAUUUGACACCCAAACUGGGAACUUCACAAAAUGCAAUGCUGGACUUAGCUACUCAAAUGCAGACCUGAUUGCUUCAUUAACCCUGAACGACAAAGGUGAUUCCCUGAAAGCGUCCUACUACCAUAUUGUGAACCCUGCACAUACUGUUGGUGCAGAGGUGAGCCAUAGCUUCUCAACCAAUGAGAAUACUAUUACAGUUGGUUCCCAGCAUGCAUUGGAUCCUUUGACCACAGUGAAGGCACGAGUGAACAACCUUGGCAGGGUAAGUGCUCUCAUUCAGCAUGAGUGGCGGCCAAAAUCGUUCUUCACCCUUUCUGGAGAGGUGGAUAGCAAGGCUAUUGAAAAGAGUGCCAAGUUCGGAUUGGCUCUUGCACUCAAGCCAUGAGCAUUUAGCCAAAUUGUGUUGAAGGUAGUAGGUUGAGCAUUAGAAGUGCAGUAUAGUUCUAUCUGGACUAACUUUUGCUGUUCUUAAGGUUGGUUGCAACCCUUUUGUCUGAGUUCUCAUGGUGAUGCCUCUUUCUUUCUGUUUUGGUGGUUUUGGAUGUAAAAAUAAAAUGAGAGGUGUCAAAAACCCAUGCCAUUACUGUCAGAGUCCCCACAAUCUUUACUCCAAAUUGAACGGAGGUUGAAUACCCUUAUUUUCUGAGGGUUUAGUUCAUAAUUUCUUUCCAAUUCUUUGAUGGCUAUGCCUAUUUUCUCUGGUAAACAGCAG
rnacentral:misc_RNA from 1 species